CGCGCCCGGAUGGAGCAGCCCGGUAGCUCGUCAGGCUCAUAACCUGAAGGUCACAGGUUCAAAUCCUGUCCCCGCAACCA
rnacentral:tRNA from 1 species